ACUUAGCCCUGAUUGAAGCGGCAUCCUUUUUUGUUUUUCUCAAAAAAGAUAUAGCGGAAAGCAGGAAAUAGC
rnacentral:sRNA from 1 species